rnacentral:rRNA from 1 species
UUUCGCAAUGCCCGAAAGGGUGACGAAGCGACGCCGCGUGAGUGAGGAAGGCCUUCGGGUUGUAAAGCUCUGUCAGGAGUUAAGAAAUAUAAGUGUGCUAAUACCACAUUUAUUUGACGAAGGCUCCAAAGGAAGCCACGGCUAACUCUGUGCCAGCAGCCGCGGUAAUACAGAGGUGGCAAGCGUUGUUCGGAAUUAUUGGGCGUAAAGAGCACGUAGGUGGGUUUGUAAGUCAGAUGUGAAAGCCUUCUGUUCAACGGAAGAAUCGCAUCUGAAACUGCGAGUCUUGAGUGUAGGAGGGGAGAGUGGAACUUCUGGUGGAGCGGUGAAAUGCGUAGAUAUCAGAAGGAACGUCGGCGGCGAAAGCGACUCUCUGGCCUAUUACUGACACUGAGGUGCGAAAGUUAGGGGAGCAAGCGGGAUUAGAUACCCCGGUAGUCCUAACCGUAAACGAUGGGCACUAAGUAGAGGGGUUUUA